rnacentral:rRNA from 1 species
UACGGAGGGUGCUAGCGUUGUUCGGAAUCACUGGGCGUAAAGCGUGCGCAGGCGGUUUUGUAAGCCAGAUGUGAAAUCCCCGGGCUUAACCUGGGAAUGGCAUUUGGGACUGCAAGGCUCGAGUGCGGCAGAGGAGACUGGAAUUCCUGGUGUAGCAGUGAAAUGCGUAGAUAUCAGGAGGAACACCGAUGGCGAAGGCAGGUCUCUGGGCUGACACUGACGCUCAUGCACGAAAGCGUGGGGAGCAAACAGG